UUCGAUAAAUGAGAUUUUCAAUCUCUCAAAUUCUAAGAUGACAUUGAUAUUGAUUAUUGGUAUGAGUUGGAAAGCAAAGAUGUGUGAUAAAGGUUUGUUGUGAAGAGAUAGUCAUGUUCCUUGAUAUGGUUUGACAUUCCUUGAUAUUCUUUCAUCAUCCUUGAUAUCCCUGGAUGUUCUUUGAUAUUCUCGAGAUUCUUUGAUAUUCUUUGAUAUUCCUUAACAUAUCUUCAAUUUGAUUGGGAUGAACAACCCUAUUUAUAGGGGACACAAGGUAUACCUGUCUGUGUGAUAGGAGUUGGAUGGGACGCCAUCACUUGUGUGUGUUGUGAUUACAAGAAGGUUAACAACCUUUAGUAGUGUCUAAUGUGGACACGCAACACCAAGUUCGUUGAUCAUAUAGAUCUCUCAGUCACUCCUUUAUUCAAAGGUGAUCUACCUUGAAAACAUCUUGUUCUAUUCAAAAUUCCCAAAGAUUGAUUCUUGGGAAAUGAAUUCUGCAAUUGCGAAAGUUGAUUCUCCAAUUUCUUUAAAGCUAAAGGUAUGCCAAGGCCGAUCAAAGGUGUAUGAUGAUACGUUAUGACGAAGUGUAUAGUGGAAUCUCCUAAGUAAUACGUUUUAGUUUCUUCGGAGGAUUCCGAGGACGGAAUCCUUAUAAGGGGGGUAGAAUGUAAUAUCCCGUAUUAUUAAAUUUAGAUUUGAUUAUUAUAAAUCUAUUUGUCUAAAUAUUGUUGUUGGCUUUAAUUGAAAAGUGAAUUGAUUAUGUGAAUAGUUUUAUAUGAGUAUACUUGUUCUAUGGAUUAAUAUGGAUUAUACUGAUUAUGCGUCCUCCUUCUUUCUCGGAUUCCGAGGACGGAAUCCCUAUAAGGAGGGUAGAUUGUAAUAACCCGGAUUUUAAAAAUAUUUUUAUUAAUAUUAUAAAUGAUUUUCUUAAAAAGAAAGGAAUAAGAUUUAAUAUUUUAUUCCAGUUUAAUGAGUUUUCAAGGUUUUAUAUUUAAACCCCGGGUUAUUGUGUUAUUGAUAAAUAAUUGUAAUUUCAAAAUGGAUUUUCAUAUAAAAAUUCUGUAUGAAUAUUAUGUGAGUAUAUGUGUUAUGUGAUGAAGUGGUAGUGGUGAAUUUGUUUGUUAAUUAGUUAUGAUUAAUUAUUAAUAUUAUAUGAUUAAUAUAUGAAUUUUUGUGAAUUUUGUGUUAUCCAGUUUAUUGAGCUGACUGCUCAUAUGUGUUCGUAUCUGAGAGAUUUCAAUUUCUAUAUGCUCAGGAGAAAAUAUAGUUUAUUUGGAUAUUUUCAUAUCGAUUUAUGGAAUGUUAGAUGAUUUUAUAAUCGAUUUACGGAUUUAAUUGCGUAUAUUUAUAUUUACUUAGUAAUUAUUUGACUUCCGUAAAACCGUUCACUCGUAACGAGGUAGUAGAUUUUCUUCCCGGAAGUUUCGAGAAAACUCACCUUUAGCCUAAUUUGAAUAUUCCGGACAUUUUUCGUGUUUUGACUUUUUCGAUCCGGAGUACGGUUUUCCCCGGAGUCGGUCCGGCGGAGUUUUCGGGUAUUUUAAUUGUCGAUAAUUAUCCAGUUUGUCUCGAUAAACGUGAACCGAGAUAUUUUCUUCAUCCUUAUCAUGUAAUAAUUGCAGUGGGACCCGCAGACCAAUAAUUGAGUUAAAAAGCCCCGUUUUGAUGAUUAUCUUGAAAACUAGUACCGAUUGGACCCCACUUUCUUAAUAUAAAGCUAUUAAAUACGUAUUUUCAUGUCAUAAACGAUCCAAAGGGGUACCAAUUCUUUGUAAAUAUAAAUAUACCUUUCUAGAGCUUAUUUUCACCCGUAAAAUCAUUUCACCAGUUUCUCUGCACGAAUACCGAGAGAAACCGAGCGGUGUUCUUCGUGUUCUUCAUAAUCAAACGUGGAUUUGAAGGCGUUAUUGGAGUCAGAAUCAAGCGUGCGAAUAGUCAAAUCGAAGAUAUCGAAGAGUAGAAUCUAUAUCUGCAAUCAAAAACAACCUGAGAUUCACAGGAUUGGACGAGACGUGGAUGACCGAAGACGUUCAGAAGGACAAGUGGUGUUCCAAAGCGAAUAAAGAAUGAGUCGAGUAAGCGAAGUGCUGUGGCGAAUAGAGUAUAGCUAGAGAUGGUCUAGAGAUUAUAAGAUGCAUAUAUUGUGAAAGUGGAAAGUUGAGAAUGAGCUGUGAGACGGGAGUCAGAUUUAAGGCAAGUAUCCUAUACCCUUCUUUUGGAUAUCUUGCGAUUAUUCUGAUCCAUUAUUCUCGUAUGUGUUGCAAAUAUUCGUUCCUCUCUUUUUCAUAUUUGGCAAGUGCAAAUAUUUUUAUCCAUCCUUUUCUAAUCCUCAAAAAUUCAGAUAAUUCCAGUUUUACAAAUUAAUUCGAAGUUCAGAUUGUCAUUGAAGCAUGUGUUGCUCAGUGAUGAUUAGAACCUAGAAUGACUUGGGAUCUUCUUGAUUAUUCAACCCGCCAUUGUCAUGCUGGUUUAGCAGGCUAAAUUCAGUUGCUUAGCCGAUAAUGGAGGAUACUGAAUAGUUAAGGAUUUCCUGGAUUAUGAUUUAUGGAAGGAUGGACUCUGGUUUAUGAAAAGUUGAUUAUCAAAUGUUUGAUUUGGAAUUAUUUUAUCAUGGAUAUUGAUUGUGGUUAUGUUCUGUUGUUAUACGUUGACCUGUUAUUGAAUUAUAGAAUUGGAUUAUUGUUUUUAUAUAAACCUGUGGACCAGAUUCGUGGUCAUGUUAGGCCAAUGAGUGCCUUGGAUCCAGUGAUAGAGCAUGGCGGGGCCUGCUCGGGGUUAGUGCGGAACUGAUCAGCUGCCUAACCUUGGUUUUAAUUAAAAUGUAAUAGUCCAAUUCAAUAAUUCUUUGGAAAGAUUGAAUUUCUCAGUUUAAAUGAUGCAAGGUAUUGUAAAUCAUUCUAUACAAUACCAUGAACUCAUGAACUCAGGUUGAAUUCUCUUAUAUCUUGAACUCGUGAACUUCUGUUAUAUCAUUUCAGAACUAUCAUUGUUUAUUAUUACUUGCUGAGCAUUGUUGCUCACCCUUGCUAUUCCUUUCUAACCAUUUCAGAAAGGCUGAAAGAUAAGAUGAUUGAUUGAGAUUGUGGAUAAGGCUAAUGCUAGGCGAGGAGACAGAGUUGAGGAUCCAGUGGUCGAGGAGUAUUCAGGAAAGUUGAUAAGGUUGGUGCUAGCUAGAGUUAUGCUAUGAAGUUUCAGAUGUAAGUCAUGGCUGGAGUAAGUUGACAGUGAUUCUUCUUAUCGAAGAUGAUCUGAUUUGGUAAGGGAUGUUGUGUAGUAUUAGUGGUGAAUUCUAAUUUCAAUACUGUAACCUGGAAGCGAUCCUGUUGUUUUUGGGGGUUAAAAUGUUCUCUUUCGAAUCAGCUAUUAAAGUUUAAAUGUUCUCUGAAAAGUUCUUUUA